UUGGAAACGACUGCUAAUACCGGAUGCCGUCGAACCGUCGCAUGGCGGAUCGACGAAAGGGUUACCGGAUCGGGAGGGUCUCGCGGCCUAUCAGCUUGUUGGUGAGGUAACGGCUCACCAAGGCAUCGACGGGUAGCUGGUCUGAGAGGAUGAUCAGCCACACUGGGACUGAGACGCGGCCCAGACUCCUACGGGAGGCUGCAGCAGGGAAUAUUGUGCAAUGAACGAAAGUUUGACACAGCGACACCGCGUGUGGGAUGACGGAUCUAGGUUUGUAAACCACUUUCAGGAGGGAAGAAAAUGACGGUACCUCCAUAAGAAGCCCCGGCCAACUACGUGCCAGCAGCCGCGGUAAUACGUAGGGGGCGAGCGUUGUCCGGAUUUAUUGGGCGUAAAGAGCUCGUAGGCGGUUCAACAAGUCGGUCGUGAAAGUUCAGGGCUCAACCCUGAAAUGUCGAUCGAUACUGUUGUGACUAGGAUACGGUAGAGGUGAGUGGAAUUCCGAGUGUAGCGGUGAAAUGCGUAGAUAUUCGGAGGAACACCAAUAGCGAAGGCAGC
rnacentral:rRNA from 1 species